GAUGAACGCUGGCGGCGUGCCUAAUACAUGCGAGUCGAGCGAACAGAUGAGGAGCUUGCUCCUCUGACGUUAGCGGCGGACGGGUGAGUAACACGUGGAUAACCUACCUAUAAGACUGGGAUAACUUCGGGAAACCGGAGCUAAUACCGGAUAAUAUAUUGAACCGCAUGGUUCAAUAGUGAAAGACGGUUUUGCUGUCACUUAUAGAUGGAUCCGCGCCGCAUUAGCUAGUUGGUAAGGUACGGCUUACCAAGGCAACGAUGCGUAGCCGACCUGAGAGGGUGAUCGGCCACACUGGAACUGAGACACGGUCCAGACUCCUACGGGAGGCAGCAGUAGGGAAUCUUCCGCAAUGGGCGAAAGCCUGACGGAGCAACGCCGCGUGAGUGAUGAAGGUCUUCGGAUCGUAAAACUCUGUUAUUAGGGAAGAACAAAUGUGUAAGUAACUAUGCACGUCUUGACGGUACCUAAUCAGAAAGCCACGGCUAACUACGUG
rnacentral:rRNA from 1 species